rnacentral:rRNA from 1 species
AGACCCGAAACCCGGUGAUCUAGCCAUGGGCAGGUUGAAGGUUGGGUAACACUAACUGGAGGACCGAACCGACUAAUGUUGAAAAAUUAGCGGAUGACCUGUGGCUGGGGGUGAAAGGCCAAUCAAACCGGGAGAUAGCUGGUUCUCCCCGAAAGCUAUUUAGGUAGCGCCUCGUGAAUUCAUCUCCGGGGGUAGAGCACUGUUUCGGCUAGGGGGCCAUCCCGGCUUACCAACCCGAUGCAAACUGCGAAUACCGGAGAAUGUUAUCACGGGAGACACACGGCGGGUGCUAACGUCCGUCGUGAAGAGGGAAACAACCCAGACCGCCAGCUAAGGUCCCAAAGUCAUGGUUAAGUGGGAAACGAUGUGGGAAGGCCCAGACAGCCAGGAUGUUGGCUUAGAAGCAGCCAUCAUUUAAAGAAAGCGUAAUAGCUCACUGGUCGAGUCGGCCUGCGCGGAAGAUGUAACGGGGCUAAACCAUGCACCGAAGCUGCGGCAGCGACGCUGAUGCGUUGUUGGGUAGGGGAGCGUUCUGUAAGCCUGUGAAGGUGUGUCGUGAGGCAUGCUGGAGGUAUCAGAAGUGCGAAUGCUGACAUAAGUAACGAUAAAGCGGGUGAAAAGCCCGC